rnacentral:piRNA from 1 species
UAGUUCUAUCACUGAAUUUCAGCCU